rnacentral:sRNA from 1 species
CUGUCGCGUCUGUGUAUUUUAUUUUUAUAAUUAUAUUUCUGAAGUAACGCAGCAUUUGUGUCUGUUGUUCUCUCGUGAGACUUAAAAUCUGAUGUAAACUACAAUGCGGAUUAUAAACAGGUCGUCAGAACUGGACAACUCUUCAAAGACUGCAGAACUGAAUGUCACGUUACUGCCUGCAAAAAGUAAUGACGAUCAAACCCUUAAUGACUUCCACAAGACACAAUUUAUUAUUACCACCGUGCUCUUUACACUGGGGCUGUUCGGGAACAUUUCCAUUAUUCUUGCUCUGAGAGGAU